rnacentral:lncRNA from 1 species
GAGUAAGCACAAGCAGGGUGAGUGGCAGGCCAAAGGGAGAGGGAGAAGCAUGUUUCCUGCUGAGCAGGGAGCCCAAUGUGGGUCUUAAUCCCAGGACCCCAGGAUCGUAACCUGAGCUUAACCAACUGAGCCACUCAGGUGCCCCCAUAAUUUGUGUUUAAACACUGUUCAGCUUCUAGUGAACCCCUGAACCACAUGCUCAGGGCAGUCUGCAAGUAGCCCAACCAAAGGAAAAACAACUGAAUGGAGAUUUGUGCUGCAGCCUGGAAAUAGAAAUUAGAGUUUAAGUCCAUCCAAAUUAAUGGCAUGCUGAAACAAACAAACAACAACAACAAUAAAAUAGCACUCUUUAAGGAAAAUAACAGAAUCUACUCUCCACAAACUUGACAUAUGAAGAAACAAGACUAUAUAUCACAUCUUCUCAAGAGAAAUGACAAUCAACAUACAUGGACAGCAGUAUGACACAGUUGCUCAAUUAGCAAAGAUUUCAAAGCUGAUAUUUUUAAAAGAGAUUAUAUUUAUUUCAGACAGAGAGAGUGAGCACAAGUAGGGGGUGGGUGGGAAAGGGAAAAGCAGACUCCUCGCCGAGCAGGAAUCCUGACAUGGGGCUUGAUCUCAGUAUCUGGGAUCAUAAUCUGAGCCAAAGUCAGACACUUAACAGUCUGAGCACCCAGGUGCCCCUAAAACUAAUAUUAAACUAUAUUUGAUGAUGUAAAGGAAAAAUGUUCGUAGUGUAUAAACAGGAAAUCUCUGUAAACAGACAAAUUGAAAUGAUAUGAAAGUGAACCAAAUGGAAUUCCAGAUCUAAUAUAUAUAUAUAUAUAUAUAUAUAUAUAUAUAUAUAUAUAUAUGGUGUAUAUGUAUCUGAAAUAAAAAAAAAAAUCCCUGGAGGGAUGCCUGGGUGACUCGGUGGUUGAGCGUCUGCCUUCGGCUCAAGGCGUGAUCCUGAAUUCCGGGAUAGAGUCCCACAUCCGGCUCCUUACAGGAAGCCUGCUUCUCCCUCUGUCUGUGUCUCUGCCUCUCUCUCUCUCUCUCUCUCUCUCUCUCAUGAAUAAAUAAAUAAAAUAUUUUAAAAAAUAUAUUCACUGGAUAAGAUUACAGCAGAAUAGAAAUAACAAGAGUCAGCUUAGCUUCAAGAUAGAUUCAUAGAAAUGAUCCAAUAUGAAAAACAGAAAUGAGAAAUUAUUGGAAAGGAAAUGAACAAAAUCUCAGAGAUCCCAGCCAAGAGCAAA